CCUACGGGCGGCAGCAGUAGGGAAUCUUUCACAAUGAGCGAAAGCUUGAUGGAGCAACGCAGCGUGCAGGAUGAAGGCCUUCGGGUUGUAAACUGCUUUUAUAAGCGAGGAAUAUGAUGGUAACUUAUGAAUAAGGAUCGGACAACUACGUGUCAGCAGCCGCCGUCAUACGUAGGAUCCGAGCAUUAUCCGGAGUGACUGGGUGUAAAGAGUUGCGUAGAUGGCAUCAUAAGUAGCUAGUGAAAUCUGGUGGCUCAACCAUUCAGACUAUUAGCUAAACUGUUAAGCUCGAGACCGUUAGGGGCAUCUGGAAUUCCUAGUGUAGGAGUGAAAUCCGUAGAUAUUAGAAGGAACACCAAUAGCGUAGGCAGGAUGCUGGGACGGUUCUGACACUAAGGCACGAAAGCGUAGGGAGCAAACGGGAUUAGAUACCCCAGUAGUC
rnacentral:rRNA from 1 species